rnacentral:lncRNA from 1 species
AAAAUUUUCUGAACUAAGCGGGCAAAAUUCCCUCUCUUUUCUCCCUCCUUUUUUCAUAGGGCACGAUAUCUUUCACAAGGGCCCAAUUCCCCCUCCCCAACUCACAAAAUCUAUCAGGAGGCUCAAUUUUCCCUUCCCAACUCGCUAGAAAGAUAAGCUCAAUUCCCCUUCUUCAUCAUCUUCUCUACAUAGUAAGUCAGUGCAAUUCAAAAAAUAAAAGAUUGUCAUGCUCUUUAUCUUAUUUUCUGUUGCGCUAAUUUUUAUUUACUUCCCGAUGUAGAGUUUGCAAUCGAAAUUGUUUAAAUAUUCUUGUGGAUCUGUAUAUUAUUACAAGUAUUGGGUUAAACUGUGAUUCAUUAUUGUGUGGUCCUUUGUUCUCGAGUUCCUGAUUACAAAUGAGUGAGUACUUUUAAGAGCCUAGGUUUUUUACCGUGUAUUUUGCUCUUCAAUUUUGCUUUGAUAGUUAAAUUUUAAUAACAGGAAAUCAUGUGAGUAAUAUAGAGUAAUUUGUUUCAUAUUCUCUUAUAGCUGUUAUUGAUAUAGAUACUAGCAGGAUUCAUGUAUUAGAAGAUUUGAGUACGUUCCUCAAGAUAUAUACGAGAUGUUAAAGUAAGCUAGUUGUAUAUAUAUUUCAUUUGUUAUGAUAUAUGUAUUUGAAUUUGUUAUGUUUGUUACUCUAGUUUAAGAAAUACUUCUAUCAUACUCCUUCCCAUUUCCCUUUUCAUAAUGCAUGAUCUAUUCGAGUGCAAAGAAGCAUGGUGAAGGAAUAUAUUUCGCUGAUGAAUAUGUGUGCAAAAGUUUCAGGAUUACUUACUGAUAUGAUAGUAUUGAGGGGUAAGUUAUGCUUCUUAACUUGUCUCUUGACCAAGUGUUUGUUUCGUAGAAGGCUUACUUUUUUAUAUAACAAACUUCUUGGAUUAUAGGAAGCUACAUUUAUUAGAAGAACAUUUGCAGCAUUAAACACCAGUUGAAGUUACAAAGAAAUGGUAGCCUUGCGAACAAUUAACACAAUUGGCUCAUUGACAUCUUGCUAUAUAUGUGGCUACAGGUAGAUGGAAACUUUAUAUACAAGUCUAAACUCACAAUUUAUAUAAAUUGGUGGUGGUUUUCUUAAUAAAUUAAUUGCAUAUUGAUUUUUCUUAUCCCUAAGACUACUGCUUACUGCAAAAUACAAUAAUUUUCAGAAACAACAAAGGUCCCUGGCUAAUUGAUCAUGUUAUCAAUUUUUCCUCUUAUGGUGAUAGGUGAUCCUGCUAUCAAUUUUUCCAACUCAAAUAAUAUGAAGGGCAUAUAGUAAUUAUUUAAUUAGCUUAACAAUAUUAUUUUCCUAAAGUUUUAAUGGAUACUGAGAUAGUUAACUGAUGAGGAAGAACAACUUAAAGAAACUAAUCAAACAAAAAUUCUAGAAUUCAAUUAUUGAGAUGUCAUGUAAGUUGCCCCCAACAUUUUCAAUCCUUGCACUUCUUUUCCCUGGGUUAUGUUAAGUAACUAAGAGUAUUUUGUUUCAUAUUUUUUUGCAGUUAUUACUAAUAUAGAUUCUAGUGGAAUUCAUUCCUUAGAAGAGUUGAUAAAGUCCCUCAAGAAACGAGAUGUUCAAGUAAGCUGGGAGUAUACAAAUUCUAUAUUUUUAGUUAAAGUUUUGGCACUUUUUUUUUUUGCUUCUUUUGCUUGAAGUUAGCUCCAGAAGACUUUGAUACUCGUUUGUUUGUUUAACUAAUUAUUAUUCCCCCUCCUAUUUUAUUAGUUCAUUUCUUCUACUUCAGUAUUUCAGUGUUUUUAGCGGUCAACUUUGGUGCAAGUUUAACUUCUAUUAAUCAUAGGGCUGGAUUGAAGCUUAUACUUUAUUUUUUUAAUUCUAAUGUUAGAAAACCUAUCGAGGUUGACUUAUACUUUAAUAAUUACAUAUGUGAUAUUUUUCAUGAAUAUAUAGCUAGAAUUUAUGCCGCCAAGUAGAAUAAUUUGUAAGUUUUGUGAUGAUAUAUGAGGAAACAACUAUGUACUUUAGUUCUUAUUCAUGUGAGAGUAUCUAGCAACUUCUGUUAAAUGUUGUUACUUGUUAAGCCAAGUGACAGAUUUGUUUGUUAGAAGAUUUGGAGCUUUCAUUUAUUUAUGUAACUGGAUUUGUCCAACAACGUCUGUAUAAUGCUAUUAUGAGAGUAUGCUACUUGUUUAUAACAUCUUCCUCGAAUGCUUUUGUUUAAUUGUUUCAGCAUAGUGAUGUGAAGAGCGAGUCUGCUUCACCCGUGGGUGUAAGAGUAUCAUCAAGUGACGGCAAUACAAAUCACCAAGCAAGUACUUUGGAUUUUUGUAUAUUUAUUCAUUGAGGAACUACCCUAG